rnacentral:rRNA from 1 species
GAUGAACGCUGACAGAAUGCUUAACGCAUGCAAGUCUUUGGCGAAGCUGUGCUUGCACAGCCUAGCCAAGGCGGACGGGUGAGUAACGCGUAAGGAACUUGCCCUGCAGUCAGGGAUAACAGACGGAAACGACUGAUAAGACCUGGUAAAGUCAGGCGGACUCAUGUCCAGCCUGAUGAAAAGAGAUGCUGCAGGAGAGCCUUGCGUCCUAUUAGCUUGUUGGUGGGGUAACGGCCCACCAAGGCGAUGAUAGGUAGCCGGCCUGAGAGGGUGGACGGCCACAAGGGGACUGAGAUACGGCCCUUACUACUACGGGAGGCAGCAGUGGGGAAUAUUGGACAAUGGGGGCAACCCUGAUCCAGCAAUUCUGUGUGCACGAUGAAGGUUUUCGGAUUGUAAAGUGCUUUCAGCAGGGAAGAAAAAAAUGACGGUACCUGCAGAAGAAGCGACGGCUAAAUACGUG